GACGAACGCUGGCGGCGUGCUUAACACAUGCAAGUCGAACGGAAAGGCCCUGCUUUUGUGGGGUGCUCGAGUGGCGAACGCGUGAGUAACACGUGAGUAACCUGCCCUUGACUUUGGGAUAACUUCAGGAAACUGGGGCUAAUACCGGAUAGGAGCUCCUGCUGCAUGGUGGGGGUUGGAAAGUUUCGGCGGUUGGGGAUAGAUUCGCGGCUUAUCAGCUUGUUGGUGGGGUAGUGGCGUACCAAGGCUUUGACGGGUAGCCGGCCUGAGAGGGUGACCGGCCACAUUGGGACUGAGAUACGGCCCAGACUCCUACGGGAGGCAGCAGUGGGGAAUAUUGCACAAUGGGCGGAAGCCUGAUGCAGCAACGCCGCGUGCGGGAUGACGGCCUUCGGGUUGUAAACCGCUUUCGCCUGUGACGAAGCGUGAGUGACGGUAAUGGGUAAAGAAGCACCGGCUAACUACGUG
rnacentral:rRNA from 1 species